rnacentral:pre_miRNA from 1 species
GCCCACCUCCGGAGCAGCCCGUAGAGAAACCGGGGCAGCACCCGUGCUGCCCCGGUUUCUCUACGGGCUGCUCCGGAGCUGGGC